GUAAUCGGAUUCGCAUUAAUCCACAUGUGUUGCUGUGGGUUGGAGUAGAACUUGAACUAAAUUCCAUCCCAAUCCACUCCAACACAUGUGGAUUGAGGUGUGUCGGUG
rnacentral:pre_miRNA from 1 species